rnacentral:rRNA from 1 species
UUUCCCUCAGGAUAGCUGGCACUCGUUCGGAGCGAGUCUCAUCUGGUAAAGCGAAUGAUUAGAGGCCUUGGGGCCGAAACGACCUCAACCUAUUCUCAAACUUUAAAUGGGUGAGAUCUCUGGCUUGCUUGAAACUUGAAGCCACGAGAUAAAGUUACAGAAAAAAUGGAUCAGAGUGCCAAGUGGGCCAAUUUUGGUAAGCAGAACUGGCGCUGUGGGA